rnacentral:rRNA from 1 species
CGGGGUGAGUAAUGUCUGGGAAACUGCCUGAUGGAGGGGGAUAACUACUGGAAACGGUAGCUAAUACCGCAUAACGUCUUCGGACCAAAGUGGGGGACCUUCGGGCCUCACGCCAUCGGAUGUGCCCAGAUGGGAUUAGCUAGUAGGUGGGGUAAUGGCUCACCUAGGCGACGAUCCCUAGCUGGCCUGAGAGGAUGACCAGCCACACUGGAACUGAGACACGGUCCAG